UACGGAGGGGGCAAGCGUUGUUCGGAAUUACUGGGCGUAAAGGGCUUGUAGGCGGCCAACUAAGUCCGACGUGAAAUCCCCAGGCUUAACCUGGGAACUGCGUCGGAUACUGGAUGGCUUGAAUUCGGGAGAGGGAUGCAGAAUUCCAGGUGUAGCGGUGAAAUGCGUAGAUAUCUGGAGGAAUACCGGUGGCGAAGGCGGCAUCCUGGACCGACAUUGACGCUGAGGAGCGAAAGCUAGGGGAGCAAACGGG
rnacentral:rRNA from 1 species